rnacentral:lncRNA from 10 species
ACUGCAGAGCCUGUCCGUCAGUCCCUAGGUAUCCGCACUGCUCAGGGGAGGAUUCCCUGGGAGCACCCACCAGCUGAGAUCUGCACAUCAGCCACAAUCCUCUCAGGACGGCGGAAAGGGAAGGGCUCAGCCGCCAGCCUGGCCACAGCCUGCAUCAUCUCAUCCCAGAGGCGGAGCACAGGCUCGGGGUCCUUCAGGGCCUGAAGGAGGUAGAGCCCGGUACUCACCCAGCAAUCAUUGUUGCCUGACAAAAGUCACAGAGAAGGCUCAGUUCUUCCUUCCUAUCUCUGAGAUCCCCUCCAGGAGCUGCUGCUGGUCCUGCCUGACAUCCUCCCCAUACCUGGAAGAGACAGGAGAAACAAUGAGGCUACAGUCAGUUAAUGAGCCACUGAAUCGAACUCAUUGAGUAGAGAAAUCUAUGUGCAGAUGGAGUUUCGCUCUGUCGCCAGGCUAGAGUGCAGUGGCACAAUCUCGGCUCACUGCAACCUCCACCUACCGGGUUCAAGCAAUUCUACUGCCUCAGCCUCCCGAGAAGCUGGGACUACAGG